CGGAGGGUGGAAAAGAUCAAACCUCUGAGCUUGGAUAAAAGGAAAUGAUGUUGUGCUGAACCUAGGUCCUUUGUCAUUAAAUCAGAACAAGGGAGAUUUUUAGUGAGUUUAGACACUAAUAGUAGGUUGCACUUAAACCUAGCAUAUACAACAUAAUCUUCACUGUCUUAUUUUCAAAUAUAGUUGUAUUUUCUGUGUGAGUGCUUUUUGACUUGUGUCCUGUAGGCACCUUCACUCCUUAUAUUCCUUGGUUAUCAAUACUUUUAAUAUUCUUUAGAAUAUCCUUACAGUAGGUGACAUGAUGAGUUGCCCCUGAAUCUAUCACCUAAUCACACAUAUUUGCACCAGACAUUAGAGAAAUUAUAUAUAUCAUAUUUGCAGAACAUUCCCAUGCAUUAGUCUUAGACAACAGAUUAACCAAUUGCUUGUAUAACUCUUAUGUAAAGAAUCGACCUAGUGCUUGAAUUUUUGGCAUUGUUCUUUCUUUCUUUGUAGUAGUUGUAUUUGCAUUUACAUUGUUGGCAUAUACCUUUCCUUCGAUUGUCUGAUUUUUCUUUUUGCUUUUGAAAUCAGAUGAAUAUCAAAUUAUCUUAAAAUAAUUCUCUUUCAGAUGUCCUUUAUACCUGCAAUACUCACAUAUUAAGUCAUGCUUUCUAUGUCUAAAGUUUUGAUCUCUUUCUGCUAGCAUUGUGAGUGGAUCUCUAUAUGUAUCUACGACACAUAAGGUCCUCUGAAUUUCUUCUUGGCUAACUAUAGCAUAAGCCUUAUUAACAUUCACAACUGGCCCUUUCGCUAACACAUUACUACGAAUAUUGCCAUAACAUUUGUUUAAUCCCAUAAGAAAUUGCAACAACCUUAUGUCUUUAAAAUGAUCUAUGAAAGGUCCAGCUUCCUCACAAUUACAAGAGGGCAAAGGGGCUAAUGCAUCAAGUUCAUCCCAUAAAUUCUUCAUUUUCAAAUAGUAGCAUGACAGAAUCUAUACCUUGCGUUAGAGUCACAAUUACAGUUCACAUAUGAUAAAUAUGGUGAGAUUAGAUCUGUCAAUCUUUUCUGAGAAUUAUUCCAAACUUUCUUAGCAUUUGACAGGUAGACAAUACUCAGAAUCAAUUCACUUGACAAGGUGCUUCCAUACCUUACCUUAGAGUUGCAAUUGCAGUCUACAGAUGAUAAAUAUGGUGAGAUUAGAUCUGUCAAAUCUCUCCUGAAAAUCAUUUUAAACUUUCUUCGCAUUUGAUGGUUACACAAUACUCGAAAUCAAUUCACUUGAUACGGUGCAUCUUAUCCAUGAUAAUACAAUAGCAUUGCACUUUUUCUAUUGCUCUUCCAAUUCUCCUUUGUAAUUGUAUUUCACACAAAUACUGUCUACAAAACCAAACUUACUCUUUCCUCGUAUUGCUAACUUCAUCGCUCUACUCCAAAGGACAUAAUUUUCUGGCCCUGUGAGUUUGAGCGGCAUCAAUAUGAGUCCUGGAGCAUCUCCGGCUUGUAAAAAUAGCGGAUGAUUGUGUUCAAGGAAAGCAACAUCAUUUUCGCCAUGGCUGUUCAAAAUUGAGCUUCAUUAGUGCUUUGUUUCCUGAUUUCCGGUGGAGCUUAAAUCGGAGUUAUAAACUUAAGACUGUUGCUCUGAUAACAUGAUAGAAUUUAUCAAAUCUUCUAUUGUAAAUCACAUGCAAGUAGAGAAGAUGGAAAUUGAGAGUGAGGAAAAAGAAGGCAUUUUAUUGUUCGAUUGAUUAUAACAAUGGGGAGGGGUUGUUUUAUAUUGGUGGGCAGUGAUUGACAAUUAUACCUAACUAACCACUUAACUAUCUAACCUCUUCUAAUUACAUAAUAACCCCAUUUUCUUAUACACACAUGCGUUGUUG
rnacentral:lncRNA from 1 species